GGACAACUUUAAAGGUGGUUUUCUCAGUAUUUAGAUUUUUUGCACCCUCAGAUUCCAUAUUUUCAAAUAGUUGUAUCUCGGCCAAAUGUUAUCCUAUCCUAACAAACCAUACAUCAAUGGAAAGCGUAUUUAUUCAGCUUUCGAAAGAUAAAAAAUACCCUUAUGACUGGUUUUGUGGUCCAGGGUCACAUUUAGAAACUUGACAAAGAAAUUCCUUCAGGGCCUGAAUUGAAUUUUUGAAAAUGGGGGGGGAAUUUCCCUCUUAGGUGGCUCUAUUGGGGGUUCUUGUCAAAUGCUCAAAUUUUGCAGCAUAUUAACAAGUGCUAUUGUCUUGUGCAUUUUCAAACAUUUAGGUUGAAUUGUCACUUAUGAGCCAAAAUGUGCCGUUUUUGUGUUUGUCCCUUUAAAUACAAAUGAGCUGGUGCUCCUGCCUCCCUUUUCAGAAGUGGGCGGAGCUUCAAGAGCUCAUGCUCUGGCAUUCCGGCAACAACAAAACAGGACAACAUCACGCAAUCUGAUGAUGCGUGUUUAUGAAUUACACAGAAUGGGAGCACAGCGAAGUAAUAAUAAUGACAUAGCACAACACGGAGUCACAGUGCGAAGGCUGUGCAGCCCUCCGAGUCCGCAUAGAAAAGUUAGUACAACACACAUGCUGCUCUGCUCCUGUUCAUCUUCAGUUCUCUCUUCACAGCAGUUCAGUCAGUGUAAUGUUUGAGUAAAUGAUUACUCCGGGAUAUUGGUUUAUUUUUCGACUCCGAGGGAGUGUCAGCCACAUUAAAAAAGUGAAAACUUAAGUAAUUUGUGGAUUAAUGCUUACUGGAGACGUGAACCAUUUCAAACGAUUCAGCCCGAUAGUGUAUUAAAUGCAGGGCUCCAGACUGCGACCUAUGGUCGCACUUGCAACCAUUUUUUCUGCCAGUGCAACUUAUUUUUGUGAGUGAUCACAAUAGCGCGACCACCACAUUGCCCAACUCAUCGCCAAAUGCGACCACCACAUUUGGCCAAAAAGCGAAACAAAACCGCGAUGCGCAACUGAAACGUAGCGCGGUUUAGUUUCGCUUUUGUUUCGUGUGCCGUUUGAUGUCUCUCAAAUCAAUAGUAGAUUUCAUUUAAAGUCCAACAGUUUAACACUAAUAUUGG
ensembl:lncRNA